CUGAUUGAAAGUUAGAGGUCGACAUCCGAUUGUUCAUUUUCUGAUGACAGAUAAAAAUACUCAAUCACCACCAGCGCAAAUAGACGAUCCAAGGCUUGAAAAUACAUAAAUACAACGGUGAAAAUAUAUACAGAUAUAUCAAUGCAUGAUAACUAAAGUGGUUAUACUCUUCAGUAACAGGAACCCUACUAGUAGUGUAAUCUGCAGAAGACAGCAUUUAUGAAAGUUUUGUGUGCUCUACAUGAUAGAGUACAAUUAUAUGACAUCUUGAAGAGAUUGGUGGAGCAUUAUUACGGUCCACAUAUGAAAAACAUGAACACCUGGUUAUCUAAAUGAUGUGAAUCUAUCAUUUGAAUAAAAAAUAUUAGUAUAACUCGCUUCAGUUCAUAAUUAGGUAGUGUAAGUUGAAUAUGGUUCAAGUUGACCAAGUGAAACAUGAGCUACACCUUGAAAGAAAUAGCAUUUGAUAAGGAUGGAAUAAUGCAUGGCAAAAGAAAAUGCUAUAGGAGCUCGAAUAGUAGUGGUUUUCAAAAUAGUAAUAUCAUCAACACGAAUAAACUACCUUUCGAACCCCGAAGAUAAAUGUAAUUAUAUUUGAAACGUCGGCAAAAACAACAAUUGUUAUUUUAAGAAAAAAUUGAUACUGUUACGCAACCUCUCUUCAUAAGAGUUACAAUUUUUUGAUGUGUUAGUGCUUAAAAGUGAUCAGGAUCUUGAAAUUGAUAUCUAUAGAAAUGAUACUACUUUCUCUUCCAUAGACACGUUACGUUUUUUUUGGGCGAAAAAAUAUAUGACUCCACUGGAUUUUUAUGAA